rnacentral:lncRNA from 1 species
ACCAUGCUGUGCAGUUCUUACCCGCUCCCCACUCCCACUCCCUACCUCCACAAUGACGUUUUUGUGUGAUAUAUUUUCACUAUAAAAUCUCUGCAGGGGUGGGUGAUGAGAAAGGCUAAAAGAAGAAGCUAAUUUUAAUGAGAAUGACAGAAUCCCUGAUUAAACUAAUAUCCACUAAGGCUUAAAUGACUAAGAGCAUUAUUAUUCCUCUGUUAUUUGCAUUUUGAAGUCUUGUCCCAUAGCAAAUUAUACCAGUUCCUGCUUUCCACAAGUUCCUUUCUCCAUGUCCAGUGUUUAGAACUGAGAGUUGCUACACAUCUAAAUAUUCCUCACAAUGUCUGCUAUGAAUCAGCAAUUUUGCAUAAAGGUGAAUGAGGGUUCCGUGGAAAUGGAAUUCUGUGCGCCUGACACUCUGAUGGAUAGCUUUAUGUUUAGAAGUCAGGAAUGCCGGACCUACUUUGUGCAUACCAAGAUGAGAAAGACAUCUCCGUCAUCUUUGGCUUCCUGAGAGGUCGGCUUCCUGAGAGGUAGGCAUGCACAUCUCAGCCAUUGGAAGAGGAUGAAGAGGAGAUCAGGGCACCAUCUCCCUCUCAGGUAUGGACAGUGGCUUUGUUUGUGAGGUUUCUCUCCUCCCUGCUGUACUCUUUUUCACCUGUAGCCCAUGUGAUUCCAAGCUCUCUGAAAGAGCAGUGAGUCUGUGCAUAUGUUACCUGCACAAAAAUUUACAUGUAGAUGUAAUUUUCCUGUAAAAGUUCCUCAAAGCAGAAUAGUUUCAUGGUGCUCUACUCAGCCUCCAUGUAACAAGUGCAUCAUCCUUCUCUGCUCCAUCCCCUUCAAGGCAGGAGGAGGACACUGACCAGCCCCAGGGACAGAUGAAUGACAGGAGGAGAUGAUUCAUAAAAC